UACGUAGGGUGCGAGCGUUAAUCGGAAUUACUGGGCGUAAAGGGCGCGUAGGCGGCCAUCUAAGUCAGACGUGAAAUCCCCCGGCUUAACCUGGGAACUGCGUCUGAUACUGGAAGGCUUGAGUAUGGGAGAGGGAUGUAGAAUUCCAGGUGUAGCGGUGAAAUGCGUAGAUAUGUGGAGGAACACCAAUGGCGAAGGCAGCCUUCUGGGCCAACACUGACGCUCAUGCACGAAAGCGUGGGGAGCAAACAGG
rnacentral:rRNA from 1 species